rnacentral:misc_RNA from 1 species
AGAAUGUCACCCAUGUUUCAACUCUGUAGCUGAAUGUUAAUGCAGCUUAUAAGUAUCUCCUAUAUGAAAAGACUGCACUUGAUAGUAUCCCGUUCACUGUUGGGGUUCCCUCCUUUAAAAGAAAUUUAUUCCUCUCAAAACUGCCAUGUUUAAAAGCUAGCUUGCGGACUUGCUCUUCAUGUGAAAGGGUUUGUUUGAGUAUUUAUUGUAACAGUUUUAAUUUCACCAUAGUGUUAUGCAGACAAAAAAAAUAAUGGAUUCUAAAUUUGUGCCCAUAUUUGGGUUAUCUAUGGAUUUUUUUUUCUUUCCUGGAUGCAUGAGCAGUUUAUUUUUUGAUCUUUGGGAUGCCACAAUUUUAUCAAACUUCUGAAUUUCUUCAUGUUGUUUUAGACACCCGGAAAGGUUAUGGGGUUGUCAAGUGGAGUCUGUACUUUCAAGUCUUAUUUAGAUCUUGUUAUCCAACUCUUGGUGCAAAGAAGUGCUCCGUUCUAUCAUAUUGAAUAUCCGUUCAAUGAGGUCUCUGUGGAAUAUGGUCCUAUAA